rnacentral:rRNA from 1 species
AACGCUAGCUACAGGCUUAACACAUGCAAGUCGAGGGGAAACGACAUCGAAAGCUUGCUUUUGAUGGGCGUCGACCGGCGCACGGGUGAGUAACGCGUAUCCAACCUGCCCACCACUUGGGGAUAACCUUGCGAAAGUAAGACUAAUACCCAAUGAUAUCUCUAGAAGACAUCUGAAGGAGAUUAAAGAUUUAUCGGUGAUGGAUGGGGAUGCGUCUGAUUAGCUUGUUGGCGGGGUAACGGCCCACCAAGGCGACGAUCAGUAGGGGUUCUGAGAGGAAGGUCCCCCACAUUGGAACUGAGACACGGUCCAAACUCCUACGGGAGGCAGCAGUGAGGAAUAUUGGUCAAUGGACGAGAGUCUGAACCAGCCAAGUAGCGUGCAGAAUGACGGCCCUAUGGGUUGUAAACUGCUUUUGUAAGGGAAUAAAGUGAGCCUCGUGAGGCUUUUUGCAUGUACCUUAUGAAUAAGGACCGGCUAAUUCCGUGCCAGCAGCCGCGGUAAUACGGAAGGUCCGGGCGUUAUCCGGAUUUAUUGGGUUUAAAGGGAGCGUAGGCCGGAGAUUAAGCGUGUUGUGAAAUGUAGGCGCUCAACGUCUGCACUGCAGCGCGAACUGGUUUCCUUGGGUACGCACAAAGUGGGCGGAAUUCGUGGUGUAGCGGUGAAAUGCUUAGAUAUCACGAAGAACUCCGAUUG